GUCUCCGGCACCGCCCGCCUGAACACGCCGGAUUCGUCUGAUCUCGGAAGCUAAGCAGCGUUGGGCUGGUUAGUACUAGGAUGAGAGAGACACUCAGGAAAUCAGGUGCUGGAGGCA
rnacentral:rRNA from 1 species